UGGGGAAUAUUGGACAAUGGGCGAAAGCCUGAUCCAGCCAUGCCGCGUGUGUGAAGAAGGUCUUCGGAUUGUAAAGCACUUUAAGUUGGGAGGAAGGGCAUUUGCCUAAUACGUAAGUGUUUUGGCGUUACCGACAGAAUAAGCACCGGCUAACUCUGUGCCAGCAGCCCCGGUAAUACAGAGGGUGCAAGCGUUAAUCGGAAUUACUGGGCGUAAAGCGCGCGUAGGUGGUUUGUUAAGUUGGAUGUGAAAUCCCCGGGCUCAACCUGGGAACUGCAUUCAAAACUGACAAGCUAGAGUAUGGUAGAGGGUGGUGGAAUUUCCUGUGUAGCGGUGAAAUGCGUAGAUAUAGGAAGGAACACCAGUGGCGAAGGCGACCACCUGGACUGAUACUGACACUGAGGUGCGAAAAGCGUGGGGAGCAAAACAGGAUUUAGAUACCCUGGUAGUCACGCCGUAAAACGAUGUCAACUAGCCGUUGGGAGCCUUGAGCUCUUAGUGGCGCAGCUAACGCAUUAAGUUGACCGCCUGGGGAGUACGGCCGCAAGGUUAAAACUCAAAUGAAUUGACGGGGUCAUAGCUGUUUCCUG
rnacentral:rRNA from 1 species